rnacentral:rRNA from 1 species
AGUGAACGCUGGCGGCGUGCUUAACACAUGCAAGUCGAACGAGAACGGGAUAUAGCUUGCUAUAUUUGUCAGCUAAGUGGCGCACGGGUGAGUAAUGUAUAGGUAAUAUGCCUCUUACUAAGGGAUAACAAUUGGAAACGAUUGCUAAUACCUUAUAUGCCUUUAUGACUAAAGUCUGCAAGGGACAGAUUUAUUGGUAAGAGAUUAGCCUGUAUUGUAUCAGCUAGUUGGUGAGGUAAUGGCUCACCAAGGCUAUGACGCAUAACUGGUUCGGGAGGAUGAUCAGUCACACUGGAACUGAGACACGGUCCAGACUCCUACGGGAGGCAGCAGUGGGGAAUAUUGCACAAUGGACGAAAGUCUGAUGCAGCAACGCCGCGUGGAGGAUGACACAUUUCGGUGCGUAAACUCCUUUUAUAUAGGAAGAUAAUGACGGUACUAUAUGAAUAAGCACCGGCUAACUCCGUGCCAGCCGCCGCCGUAA